rnacentral:misc_RNA from 1 species
CAGGAGUCAAUUUCAAUUUCGGCACAGAUAAUUCAGUGGAAUAUGCAGAAACUGUUAUUCAGACCAACUACUUUGGCACCAAAAGUAUGACUAAAGCUAUGAUUCCAUUAAUGAGGCCGUCUCCUUUUGGCGCUCGAAUUGUUAAUGUGACCUCACGACUGGGGAGACUUAACGGCAGAAGGAAUAGAAUUGCAAAUGUCAGCUUGAGACAACAACUGGAGGAUGUGGAUUCUCUAUCAGAGGAACUGAUUGAUAGUACUGUGAACUCAUUUUUGGAACAAGUAAAAAAUGGAACUUGGGAAUCUGGGGGAUGGCCACAAGUAUUCACAGACUACUCAUUGUCGAAGCUUGCUGCUAAUGCUUACACCAGGCUAAUGGCAAGAAUACUUUCUGACCAGCCAGAGGGCCAUAAGAUAUAUAUGAAUUGCUAUUGCCCAGGUUGGGUGAAGACUGCCAUGACUGAUUGGGCUGGGCAUACAUCUCCUGAAGUAGCUGCUGAUACUGCAGUCUGGCUUGCUCUUACCUCAGAUCAGAUUGUGAGUGGUAAGUUUUUUGCUGAGAGGCGUGAAAUAAACUUCUAAAGUGGGAAUUGAAGACAAAUUCAGGAAUCAGCCCAGUUUCUUUUGCUUUUGAACGAAAAUGUGAUACGAGUACUUAUAAAAACUAGAGUACUCAUGUUACAAGAUGCUAGCAAGAGCCUACUGAAAAUUGAUAUUGUUAAUGGGAAACAAUAUGUAUUGGUACAAGUUGUUACCUAGUCGUCAAACUCUAGAGGAUGUGUUAACUUUGGGGAGAGCUGAAGCCUGAAAGGGUGGUCUGGUUUUCUAAUAAUCACAUCGACACAUCCUAGAUAAGAUCAUUUGCCUGUACCAUUUGUAACUUUUAGUACAGAUUAGCAAUACAUACUACAGCAUAUUGG